GGAGCUGAGAUUUUAUUCCAAGGAUAAAGGAGAGCCAUUGAACAGGAUUAAAUGUUCUAGCAAGGAAACAUGAAGCUGGUCCAACGUGCUGCUGGGAUGGCUCCUUGAAGCUUGAACAUGAUGACCUUCAGCAAAGGAGGUGGAGAUGUACAGAGGAGGAGGCUUGAACACUCUGAUCUGUUUGGAACUUAAUUUCCUUACUCAUGAAAUUAAUAUAAUAAGGCUAAGUUGGUCAGUAGUUAAACUAACUAAAUUUGGCUGAAGAUUGCUAUGUUCACUAUGCAAAGAUUAGGCCGUUAGUUCCCUGAGUGAAGAGAUGCUAUCUUGGUAUCUCCAGCUUCCAACCGGGGGCUUGGCACAGAAUAGGGGCUUGGUAAAUGUUUUCCAAAUGAAUGGGAUGUCUGAUGGAAAGAAGACAAGGUGAAGGAAUUCCUGGGUAAUAUGGAGAUGAGAAUCUGUGAGAAGGGUACAUGUACUGAUGCCUGUCGCGGUGGACACACAGACGCACACAUUGCGGAACACCACCAGAAACCAUAAAAGGUAAGAAGACAGUGAAGCAACGUAAUUAAAGGACACAGAGAAACGAACGGCCAAGCCCGAAUUCUACAUCCAGCAAAGGAAAAGAUUUUUUAUAAAUAAGAAUAUUGAGAAUAUCGAGAACACUUCAAUAUUCCAAACUUCAAUGGAAAUAUACGAACUGGAGUACACUCUUCUUCUGCCCUUGGACAUCAGGCUCUCUGGCCUUUGGACUCCAGGACUUAUACCAGCGCCCCUCUGGGUUCUCAGGCCUCUG
rnacentral:lncRNA from 1 species